GUAAGAUUAGUACCAACUGGUCUUUGUCCCUGACGUUAAGAUGCUGGGUCAAAAAAGUAAAUCAAUAUUCGUGACCUGCGUUAUCUGAUGGCCUUUGGAGAGGCAGCCUUUGGCAAACCGAUGAAUUCGUACUUUUGUAAAAACUGUCCUACGAGACUUGGUUUGUGUUACAUCUGAACUUAAGUAUUUAUAGAUGGAACAAGCAGUGAAAGUUAAAAGAUGGUGUGUGGAAUUGAGCCAAAGAUAAGCGUAGGUAAAAGAGACUGGUGCAGAUAACCAGUGUGUGCGUCUGGCUGUUAUAGCUCGCCGUCGUUUGGGUAACAUUUUUUACACGAACCAUGCAGUGAUUUUAUAAUUGGUGGCCCGAGGAAUGUUAAUGUUUUUACCUGCCGUGUGUGAGUUUUGAGCAACUAGUUAAAUGCAAAAUAAAUGUUACAUUGUUAAGAAUGACAAAAGUGUGAUAAAUAUCCAUACAUGGAAUACUACCCGAUACAUCAGGUAUAAAGCUGCAAUAUUUAUCUCUGGUAAUGUCCCACCUAGAUUAUGCUGUACAGAAUAAGGUUUAACCCAGCAUUUUGUACUUUUUUUUAAACUAACGGAAUCAGCUUCAUGCUGCUUGAUACCGCUUUGCCCAAAAGUUUCGUGGUUCAUUUAGCAAAACCUAUACAUAGUAAUUUUACUAUAAACAGGCACAGGCUUCGUAGCUUCUGCAGACGAUAAAAUAGUAAAAAGACUCAACCUCCAUUACUCUGUGGUAAUGUAUAUGUUAAUAAACUGCUUUAGUGACUACCUCAACUAGUCACUGAAGCUUCACAAAGACUAUGGAAGCUUUAAGAGACCGCCUCGACCACCCCCGCGUGAACCCCGUGGACCAGACAAGAGGCAGCCACGAGAGGGGCCAGACGAGCUCACCUUGUCGUACACUUCGAAGGGCGUGAGAUUGGUGACUGGGGGCUCCUUGUCUCCUGGCUUCUGGAGGAAAUACUGCCUGAUGAUGAGAACCACUUCCGUGGACUCGACUAGCUUCUGGAGAAUAGAGUGAGUGGUAAUGGCACAAGGCAACGCAGGACGCAGCGCCAGCGGGUCACAGCUUUGCCACUUCCUCCAGAUGCCCCAAAUGUCACACCAUGUGGAUGGCAGGGUUGGCACCUACAAUGUCAAGCCUCAAGGAUUGGCAUCACAGACGUCUUGGCAGCCAAGGUGUCACUAAUCAACGGUCAUCGCUUAGCCAACAAUCAUACUCGGCAAGUAGGUAAGAUUAUGUGGAGAGUAAAGGAGCGCCUUGUGAAACAAAGUGUUUCAUUGAUCAUGGCUGGAUAUUUUAAAGCUUUAAUGAAAUUAAUUAACUCACAUGUAUGCCAGAGUUCUGGCAGUUUUUUUAUGGUUAUGAAAGCUGAGUGCUUGGUAAAUGGGGAUCAGGUUGUAAAUAAUUUGAGGGUCAGUAAAAGUUUUUUUUCUAGAUAAAAUCCACCCAAUUCAGGAUAAAUUUUUUUGGAGCAAAGUAAGUCAAACAAAACUUGGUUUCACAAGGUGCUCAAAGCUUGUCACUCAUUUAUACAUAAAUAAAUAUUUUUUCAUGUAUAAAACUAGACUUGAAAAAAGGAAAUAAGUCUUUUAUCUU